UACGUAGGGUGCGAGCGUUGUCCGGAAUUACUGGGCGUAAAGAGCUCGUAGGUGGUUUGUCGCGUUGUUCGUGAAAACUCGCAGCUCAACUGUGGGCGUGCGGGCGAUACGGGCAGACUGGAGUACUGCAGGGGAGACUGGAAUUCCUGGUGUAGCGGUGGAAUGCGCAGAUAUCAGGAGGAACACCGGUGGCGAAGGCGGGUCUCUGGGCAGUUCCUGACGCUGAGGCACGAAGGCCAGGGGAGCAAACGGG
rnacentral:rRNA from 1 species